rnacentral:rRNA from 1 species
UGGGGAAUCUUGGACAAUGGGGGCAACCCUGAUCCAGCCAUGCCGCGUGAGUGAUGAAGGCCUUAGGGUCGUAAAGCUCUUUCGCCUGUGAAGAUAAUGACGGUAGCAGGUAAAGAAACCCCGGCUAACUCCGUGCCAGCAGCCGCGGUAAUACGGAGGGGGUUAGCGUUGUUCGGAAUUACUGGGCGUAAAGCGCACGUAGGCGGAUCGGAAAGUUGGGGGUGAAAUCCCGGGGGCUCAACCCCGGAACUGCCUCCAAAACUAUUGGUCUAGAGUUCGAGAGAGGUGAGUGGAAUUCCAAGUGUAGAGGUGAAAUUCGUAGAUAUUUGGAGGAACACCAGUGGCGAAGGCGGCUCACUGGCUCGAUACUGACGCUGAGGUGCGAAAGUGUGGGGAGCAAACAGGAUUAGAUACCCUGGUAGUCCACACCGUAAAACGAUGAAUGCCAGUCGUCGGGUAGCAUGCUAUUCGGUGACACACCUAACGGAUUAAGCAUUCC